rnacentral:rRNA from 1 species
CAGUCGCCGCGGGAAUACGUAGGGUGCAAGCGUUAAUCGGAAUUACUGGGCGUAAAGCGUGCGCAGGCGGUUUGUUAAGACAGAUGUGAAAUCCCCGGGCUCAACCUGGGAACUGCAUUUGUGACUGGCAGGCUAGAGUAUGGCAGAGGGGGUGGAAUUCCGCGUGUAGCAGUGAAAUGCGUAGAUAUGCGGAGGAACACCGAUGGCGAAGGCAGCCCCCUGGGCCAAUACUGACGCUCAUGCACGAAAGCGUGGGGAGCAAACAGGAUUAGAUACCCGCGUAGUCCCUGUCUCUUAUACC